UACAGAGGGUGCAAGCGUUGUUCGGAAUUAUUGGGCGUAAAGGGCGCGUAGGCGGUGCGGUAAGUCUGCGGUGAAAUCUCCCGGCUCAACUGGGAGGCUGCCGUGGAAACUGCCGUGCUUGAGUGUGGGAGAGGUGAGUGGAAUUCCCGGUGUAGCGGUGAAAUGCGUAGAUAUCAAGUGGAACACCAGUGGCGAAGGCGAGUCCCUGGACAACUCCUGACACUGAGGCACGAAAGCUAGGGGAGCAAACAGG
rnacentral:rRNA from 1 species